rnacentral:rRNA from 1 species
AACGAACGCUGGCGGCAUGCCUAACACAUGCAAGUCGAACGAGACCUUCGGGUCUAGUGGCGCACGGGUGCGUAACGCGUGGGAACCUGCCCUUAGGUUCGGAAUAACUCCCCGAAAGGGGUGCUAAUACCGGAUAAUGUCUUCGGACCAAAGAUUUAUCGCCUUUGGAUGGGCCCGCGUUGGAUUAGCUAGUUGGUAGGGUAAAAGCCUACCAAGGCGACGAUCCAUAGCUGGUCUGAGAGGAUGAUCAGCCACACUGGGACUGAGACACGGCCCAGACUCCUACGGGAGGCAGCAGUGGGGAAUAUUGGACAAUGGGCGAAAGCCUGAUCCAGCAAUGCCGCGUGAGUGAUGAAGGCCUUAGGGUUGUAAAGCGCUUUUACCCGUGAUGAUAAUGACAGUACCGGGAGAAUAAGCCCCGGCUAACUCCGUG